CAAACCUUUUGAAUGGUUAUGUAUAAAAAAAUGCAGGGGCAUUUUUUCCUCCAUAUUUAAAUGUCUUGGGCUUUUUGUCAUUCUCAGUUAAUAUUUGGUUAAUUUCUGAGACUGCAUCCAAACUCAGUGCUUUGUGUGGUUUAAAUAUUACUUCAGUUUGAGAUGGAGCCAGAAUUAUGACCCAGACAGGCAUGACUAAACAUCUCAUAACAGUUAUGAGUGGGCUGACAGCAGCUGGUCUUUUUUUAAUGAAGUGUAUGUUAAAUAUGCAACUCAGGUUGUAAUGUAGAGCCCAUCUGCAGAACUGAACAUUAAUAGUGGCCACAUUGCUAGAAAAUGGCUCCAGUUUUCAGCGCUGUGACUAUUGUUGGUUUAAACUCUAUCAUACUGCCAGCCAAUCUGUCCAGUAGUAACCACAGAUGUCUGCAUACUAAGAAUGCACAUGUAUAUAUGGACAUGAAAAGUUUAAGAAAGUGUAAUAUCAUCGUUCAUCCACUGGAGAGCAAUCAUGACUCUCGUUCGCUCCUUCUCUGGUUAGGCUGUCAGUCAUCACUGCCGGGCAUCUCUACCUUGAAGACAAAAGAGGGAGGAGAGAAAAAAGGAGACUAGUGCGUGAAAGGAGUUCAAAGGAUAAAGAAGUACUCUGUAUAAUCGCUACAAGCACAACUGCUGUCUUUUCAAGAGGGAUAGGAGGAGAGAGAGGGAGAAGAGGAGGGGUGGAGAUGAUCGAGGAGAGUGAUAUUGAUGUAUGUUGUUCUUGUUGACUGGCGUGGAACCCUAGACAGGAAAUCACAGUAUGAGGCAUGGGUCUGUCAGGUUCAGAUCCAGCAGCUGGGUGAGAAACUAGCUGGAUUGGAGUUUAAGCAGAUCUAAAUCCUGAGUAAGACAGCUAGAUACCUCUCUCAUCUGAUGCUAAUCCAAUUUAAUCCCAGUUCACUUUCACUCCAAACACAAUUAGAGUGGCUUCCAGUCGAUCUGAAUUCAGGCCAAACAUUCUAUUCACACUCAAACAGGAUUAGUUCUGAUUCAUAUCGAGGAAGACUCAGAUGAGCUAUAAGCUGCCUAUUGAAGCGUGUUUAAAACAUGGCUGCUCUAUAAAGGCAUUUAUAUCCCAUGCUGGAACAAAUUAAUAUGCUCCUCCUCUUUAGAUGUAAUAGGAUCCAGUAAGAUUUGUUCUCAUUAAUAUAAUAUGACAUAAUCUUUAGGAUCCUAUUAAAGGCACAUAGCCAGUUCUUUUUCAUUAAUUUACACCCUUUUUUAAGAGCUGGCGUAAGAAGGUUUAUUUCAGUUUUCAGAUGUCUUAAUAUAUGCAUACUCUUAUUGAUGGAUUUAUGUAUUGUUGAUAUUAAUAUCUAAAUAUUGAAUUAUAUAUUUAUGUAUAAAUAUUAAUGUGCUUUUGACAUUUUAUUUAAUUUAGGCAAAAUGCAGAUAUGUGCUUCUCUUUUUUAAUGUGUAAAUAUUUCAUGUUUAUCGUAAUUUAAUCAUCUGUAUUUUUUCAUUUUAGUUCUCUAUGAUAGUUUAGCAUGGAAAGUGCAGUUUCAUAUAUGUAUAUAGUGUAUAUAUCUAAAUGUAUAAUCUGCUGUGUCUGUGCAUUGUCUUUGAAUGCAAGGGGAAGGUGAUAAAAGAGCAAGAAAAUAUUUAUAGCUGCAUUAAAAUAAUUAUUUUUCUUAAAUGUCACCCCUCUCUGCCUAUCUCUUUGUUGAUUUCCCUCUUUCUUUCACACUAUUAACUUGUUCAUUCCGCUGCCAUUUUCUCUUUUCCUGCCUCAUUCCCUCUUUUUUUAUUCUCUCUAUUUUUUAUUUGCUGAUUUGGGUCACUGGCUGACUAAGAGACAACUCACAGCUGGCCUAUAAACAGCCUUCCCCCUUUCAGUAGCAUUAGCUUUCUCACACACACACAAUCUCCUCUCACUCCAGCAUUCAGCGGCACAAAUCUCUCACAUCGUUUACCAUCAUUUGUUUACUAGGUCUUUUAAAACAAGCUUUAUGAACCACUCUCUUAUCCUCUGUGUGUUUAUAUCAAGAAAUAUUUGAUUUUUCCAUGCUGUUUUGCCUUAAGCUUGCAGUAUAUAUGCACAUCUGUACAUAACUCAACACUGUUCAUCUUUAAAUAGAACAUUUGCACAAUCAUAAUUCUGUCUUUUGGUAUUUUUCUCUAUA